CGCGAAUGGCUCAUUAAAUCAGCUAUAAUUUCUUAGAUCUUGAAAAACUUGGAUAACUGUAGUAAUUCUAGAGCUAAUACUAUCAUUAAUGCCUUACUUCGGUAAGAGCGGAUUUAUUAGACUAAAACCAAUAUUUGGUUUGGUGAACUCUGGAUAACUUUUCUGAUCGCAUGACCUUGAGUCGGCGACGUAUCUUUCAAGUGUCUGACCUAUCAACUGUCGUUGGUGAGUUAAUAGCUCACCACGGUUAUAACGGGUAACGGGGAAUCAGGGUUCGAUUCCGGAGAGGGAGCCUUAGAAACGGCUACCACAUCUAAGGAAGGCAGCAGGCGCGCAAAUUACCCACUCUCAGUUCGAGGAGGUAGUGACAAUAAAUAACAAUGUGGAACUCAAAAUGAGGCUCUGCAAUUGGAAUGAGUACAGACUAAAUCCUUUAACGAGGAUCAAUCAGAGGGCAAGUCUGGUGCCAGCAGCCGCGGUAAUUCCAGCUCUGAUAGCGUAUAUUAAUAUUGUUGCAGUUAAAAAGCUCGUAGUUGGAUCUCAGGUUGAGUGUGUCGGUUUAGUCGUUGUACUAUAACUGUUCACGCUUGCCUUUAAAGCUGCAUGUCGGUUGGUGGUGAUCUUAAUUGAUUGCUGCAUAACUGCUGAGCACGUUUACCGUGAAAAAAUCAGAGUGCUUAAAGCAGGCCUUUGUGCUUGAAUGGUGGUGCAUGGAAUAAUGAAAUAGGACUUCGGUCACUAUUUUGUUGGUUUACGGUGCUGAAGUAAUGAAAAAUAGAGACAGACGGGGUCAUUUGUAUGUUGGCGGGAGAGGUGAAAUUCUGAGAUCGUUGACAGACAAACUACUGCGAAAGCAUUUGACCAGCAUGUCUUCAUUAAUCAAGAACGAAAGUCAGAGGAUCGAAGACGAUCAGAUACCGUCCUAGUUCUGACCAUAAACGAUGCCGACCAGUGAUCAGAAGUGUGUUACUUAAUUGCCGCUUCUGGUUGCCUCUGGGAAACCUCAUAGUUAGGUUCUGGGGGGAAUAUGGUCUCAAGGCCGAAACUUAAAGGAAUUGACGGAGGGGCACCACCAGGAGUGGAGCCUGCGGCUUAAUUUGACUCAACACGGGGAAUCUCACCCGGUCCGGACACUGGGAGGAUUGACAGAUUGAUAGCUCUUUCAUUAUUCAGUGAUUGGUGGUGCAUGGCCGUUCUUAGUUGGUGGAGUGAUUUGUCUGGUUAAUUUCGAUAACGAACGAGACUCUAACCUGCUAACUAGUUCUAUAGCAUCGUUGCUUCGGUGACUUUAGCUGUAGAUAUAAAACUUCUUAGAGGAAUACACGGUUACUUAAGCCGUAUGAAAGAGAGCAAUAACAGGUCUGUGAUGCCCUUAGAUGUCCGGGGCCGCACGCGCGCUACAUUGGCAGUAACAAAAAGUAAUACAACCUGGUUCGAAAGAAUUGGGGAAUCUUUGAAUUACUGUCUCCACAGGGAUCGGGGUUUGCAAUUAUCCCCCGUGAACGAGGAAUUCCUAGUAGGCACAAGUCAUCAGCUUGUGUCGAUUACGUCCCUGCCCCUUGUACACACCGCCCGUCGCUACUACCGAUUGAGUGGAUUAGUGAGGACUUCGGAUUGCUUUCUUUUCGGUGCAAAUCGAUUAGUUAGUGAAAAGUGGUUCAAACUUGUUCAUUUAGAGGAAGUAAAAGUCGUAACAAGGUUUCCGUAGGUGAACCU
rnacentral:rRNA from 1 species